rnacentral:rRNA from 1 species
GACGAACGCUGGCGGCGUGCCUAAUACAUGCAAGUAGAACGCACAGUUUAUACCGUAGCUUGCUACACCAUAGACUGUGAGUUGCGAACGGGUGAGUAACGCGUAGGUAACCUGCCUGGUAGCGGGGGAUAACUAUUGGAAACGAUAGCUAAUACCGCAUAAUAUUGAUUAUUGCAUGAUAAUUAAUUGAAAGGUGCAAUUGCACCACUACCAGAUGGACCUGCGUUGUAUUAGCUAGUAGGUGAGGUAACGGCUCACCUAGGCGACGAUACAUAGCCGACCUGAGAGGGUGAUCGGCCACACUGGGACUGAGACACGGCCCAGACUCCUACGGGAGGCAGCAGUAGGGAAUCUUCGGCAAUGGACGAAAGUCUGACCGAGCAACGCCGCGGGAGUGAAGAAGGGUUUCGGAUCGUAAAGCUCUGUUGUAAGAGAAGAACGGGUGUGAGAGUGGAAAGUUCACACUGUGACGGUAUCUUACCAGAAAGGGACGGCUAACUACGUG